rnacentral:misc_RNA from 1 species
UCCGGUUUGGCACCGGCAGUCUUCCCAGAGUCCCCGGCUUUACCCGCUGGCAACAUGCGACGGGGGUUGCGCUCGUUGCGGGACUUAACCCAACAUCUCACGACACGAGCUGACGACAGCCAUGCACCACCUGUGAAGAUCCAGCCGAACUGACCCUGUGUUUCCACGGGUAUGAUCUACAUGUCAAGCCCAGGUAAGGUUCUUCGCGUUGCGUCGAAUUAAACCACAUGCUCCGCUGCUUGUGCAGGCCCCCGUCAAUUUCUUUGAGUUUUAAUCUUGCGACCGUACUCCCCAGGCGGCACGUUUAUCGCGUUAGCUUCGCCACAAAAGGGGUCGAUUCCUCUUACAGCAAACGUGCACCGUUUACAGCUAGGACUAC